UUUAUGGAGAGUUUGAUCCUGGCUCAGGAUGAACGCUGGCGGCGUGCCUAAUACAUGCAAGUCGAGCGAACGGACGAGAAGCUUGCUUCUCUGAUGUUAGCGGCGGACGGGUGAGUAACACGUGGAUAACCUACCUAUAAGACUGGGAUAACUUCGGGAAACCGGAGCUAAUACCGGAUAAUAUUUUGAACCGCAUGAUUCAAAAGUGAAAGACGGUCUUGCUGUCACUUAUAGAUGGAUCCGCGCUGCAUUAGCUAGUUGGUAAGGUAACGGCUUACCAAGGCAACGAUGCAUAGCCGACCUGAGAGGGUGAUCGGCCACACUGGAACUGAGACACGGUCCAGACUCCUACGGGAGGCAGCAGUAGGGAAUCUUCCGCAAUGGGCGAAAGCCUGACGGAGCAACGCCGCGUGAGUGAUGAAGGUCUUCGGAUCGUAAAACUCUGUUAUUAGGGAAGAAUAUAUGUGUAAGUAACUGUGCACAUCUUGACGGUACCUA
rnacentral:rRNA from 1 species